GACGAACGCUGGCGGCGUGCUUAACACAUGCAAGUCGAGCGGUAAGGCCCUUUCGGGGGUACGACGAGCGGCGAACGGGUGAGUAACACGUGGGUGACCUGCCCUCCAGCUCUGGGAUAAGCCUGGGAAACCGGGUCUAAUACCGGAUAUGACUCCAUGACGCAUGUUGUGGGGUGGAAAGCCUUGUGCGGCUGAGGAUGGGCCCGCGGCCUAUCAGCUUGUUGGUGGGGUGAGGCCUACCAAGGCGACGACGGGUAGCCGGCCUGAGAGGGCGACCGGCCACACUGGGACUGAGACACGGCCCAGACUCCUACGGGAGGCAGCAGUGGGGAAUCUUGCGCAAUGGGCGAAAGCCUGACGCAGCGACGCCGCGUGAGGGAUGACGGCCU
rnacentral:rRNA from 1 species